GACGAACGCUGGCGGCGUGCUUAACACAUGCAAGUCGAACGGAAAGGCCCUGCUUGCAGGGUACUCGAGUGGCGAACGGGUGAGUAACACGUGGGUGAUCUGCCCUGCACUUCGGGAUAAGCCUGGGAAACUGGGUCUAAUACCGGAUAGGAGCCAUUUUUAGUGUGAUGGUUGGAAAGUUUUUUCGGUGUAGGAUGAGCUCGCGGCCUAUCAGCUUGUUGGUGGGGUAAUGGCCUACCAAGGCGGCGACGGGUAGCCGGCCUGAGAGGGUGGACGGCCAAAUUGGGACUGAGAUACGGCCCAGACUCCGACGGGAGGCAGCAGUGGGGAAUAGUGAACAAUGGGCGCAAGCCUGAUGCAGCGACGCCGCGUGGGGGAUGACGGCCUUCGGGUUGUAAACUACUUUCGCUAGGGACGAAGCUUUUUGUGACGGUACCUAGAUAAGAAGCACCGGCUAACUACGUG
rnacentral:rRNA from 1 species